rnacentral:rRNA from 1 species
UACGUAGGGGGCAAGCGUUGUCCGGAAUCAUUGGGCGUAAAGCCCGUGUAGGCGGUCCGGUCAGUCGGUUGUGAAAGUCAAGGGCUCAACCCUUGAAUGCCGGCCGAUACUGCCGGGCUAGAGUCCGGAAGAGGUGAGUGGAAUUCCUGGUGUAGCGGUGAAAUGCGCAGAUAUCAGGAGGAACACCGAUGGCGAAGGCAGCUCACUGGGACGGUACUGACGCUGAGACGCGAAAGCGUGGGGAGCAAACAGG